rnacentral:tRNA from 2 species
GCUGGAGUGGUGGAAUGGCAUACACGCCGGUCUCAAAAACCGGUGAGGGCAACCUCGUGAGGGUUCAACUCCCUCCUCCAGCACCA